rnacentral:rRNA from 1 species
UACGAAGGGUGCAAGCGUUACUCGGAAUUACUGGGCGUAAAGGGUGCGUAGGUGGUUUUUUAAGUCCGUUGUGAAAUCCCUGGGCUCAACCUGGGAAUGGCAGUGGAUACUGGAAAGCUAGAGUGCGGUAGAGGGUAGUGGAAUUCCCGGUGUAGCAGUGAAAUGCGUUGAUAUCGAUAGGAACUCCGGUGGCGAAGGCGGCAUACUGGACCACUUCUGACGCUGAGGCGCGAAAGCCAGGGGAGCAAACAGG